UGGGGGAUAUUGCACAAUGGGCGAAAGCCUGAUGCAGCGACGCCGCGUGGGGGAUGAAGGCUUUCGGGUUGUAAACCUCUUUCGCUAUCGAACAAGGCCCGCUUAGGGUGGGUUGAGGGUAGGUGGAGAAGAAGCGCCGGCUAACUACGUGCCAGCAGCCGCGGUAAUACGUAGGGCGCGAGCGUUGUCCGGAAUUAUUGGGCGUAAAGGGCUUGUAGGCGGCUUGUUGCGCCUGCUGUGAAAACGCGGGGCUUAACUUCGUGUGUGCAGUGGGUACGGGCAGGCUUGAGUGGUGUAGGGGUGACUGGAAUUCCAGGUGUAGCGGUGGAAUGCGCAGAUAUCUGGAGGAACACCGAUGGCGAAGGCAGGUCACUGGGCCAUUACUGACGCUGAGGAGCGAAAGCAUGGGUAGCGAACAGG
rnacentral:rRNA from 1 species